UACGUAGGGUGCGAGCGUUAAUCGGAAUUACUGGGCAUAAAGGGUAUGUAGGUUGUUCUGUAAGUUGGAUGUUAAAGAAUUGGGCUUAACCUGAUAAAGCAUUCAAUACUGCAGAGCUAGAGUAUAGUAGGGGACGAUGGAAUUUUCUGUGUAGCGGUAAAAUGCUUAGAGAUUGGAAGGAACAUCAGGGGCGAAGGCGAUCGUCUGGGCUAUUACUGACACUGAAAUACGAAAGCGUGGGGAGCAAACAGG
rnacentral:rRNA from 1 species